GUGGUCUACAAAUGAAGAGUAAUUUUGAAGGAGGCCUCCUGAGAAUGCUGUGACAAGGACUGUGGCAGAUUACAAAUCCAUUGUGUGUUUCCUGGACAGGCUUUACAAAGUAUGAGUUCCAUCACUGAGAAGAUACUUCCAAAAGAGUUAUGAAAUGGAUAUAAUUUGUCUUAUCGGUAGACCUCACCUGGAGGAAAGGGAGAGUAUUGAACAGGACCUUGUCUGCUGAUCAAAGCAAAAUAUGAGCUAAGUGUGACACUCUUCCUCCCUAGUGCAUGGUUGCCGCGUCCCUUGGCUCUGACAUCUUACUGAAUGUUAUUGGGACCCUUCGGAUGUGACUUUAGCACUUUUGGACUCACUGCACCAUCUGUCUAUCCUUCCUGAACCACUUCAGUAAUGUCAGAACGCUGAGAUUGUGGGCUGGCUUCUGGCACUUCUCAAGCUAGUGCUGAGUGACUGAUUGCUCUCUGCAACUAAUGAGAAUGUCACCUACCAAUCAUUCAGUUUCUUCUUUUCAAUGGAUGGUGUGUAUAAAAUCUCAGACCAUCAAAGGAGUGAUUGGCAAAUGUGUACCUUGCUUUCUAGCUGGCCA